rnacentral:rRNA from 1 species
AUUGAACGCUGGCGGCAGGCCUAACACAUGCAAGUCGAACGAGUGGCGGACUGGUGAGUAAUGUCUGGGAACCUGCCUGAUGGAGGGGGAUAACUACUGGAAACGUUAGCUAAUACCGCUUACCGUCAGAUGGGCCCUCAUGGGAUUAGCUAGUUGGUGGGGUAAAGGCUCACCGAGGCGACGAUCCCUAGCUGGCCUGAGAGGAUGACCCGCCACACUGGAACUGAGACACGGUCCAGACUCCUACGGGAGGCAGCAGUGGGGAAUAUUGCACAAUGGGCGCAAGCCUGAUGCAGCCAUGCCGCGUGUAUGAAGAAGGCCUUCGGGUUGUAAAGUACUUUCAGCGGGGAGGCGUUACCCGCAGAAGAAGCACCGGCUAACUCCGUGCCAGCAGCCGCGGUAAUUC